rnacentral:rRNA from 1 species
CCUACGGGAGGCAGCAGUGAGGAAUAUUGGUCAAUGGGCGCAGGCCUGAACCAGCCAAGUAGCGUGAAGGAUGACUGCCCUAUGGGUUGUAAACUUCUUUUAUAAAGGAAUAAAGUCGGGUAUGCAUACCCGUUUGCAUGUACUUUAUGAAUAAGGAUCGGCUAACUCCGUGCCAGCAGCCGCGGUAAUACGGAGGAUCCGAGCGUUAUCCGGAUUUAUUGGGUUUAAAGGGAGCGUAGAUGGAUGUUUAAGUCAGUUGUGAAAGUUUGCGGCUCAACCGUAAAAUUGCAGUUGAUACUGGAUAUCUUGAGUGCAGUUGAGGCAGGCGGAAUUCGUGGUGUAGCGGUGAAAUGCUUAGAUAUCACGAAGAACUCCGAUUGCGAAGGCAGCCUGCUAAGCUGCAACUGACAUUGAGGCUCGAAAGUGUGGGUAUCAAACAGGAUUAGAUACCCCGAGUAGUC